AAUAUUUCGCAAUGGGGGGAACCCUGACGCAGCAACGCCGCGUGAGCGACGAAGGCCNNNUGGUCNUAAAGCUCUGUCAAGAGNGAANAAGUCUAAUAAGCCAAGCCCUAAUUAGGUGACGGUACCACUGAAGGAAGCUCAGGCUAACUACGUGGCAGCAGCCGCGGUAAUACGUAGGGGGCGAGCGUUGUCCGGAAUUACUGGGCGUAAAGGGCGUGUAGGCGGUUAAGUAAGGCAGGUGUGCAAACUCUGGGCUCCACCUAGUGAUUGCACCUGAAACUGCGUAGCUUGAGGGUAGGAGAGGAAAGUCGAAUUCCUAGUGUAGCGGUGAAAUGCGUAGAUAUUAGGAGGAACACCAGUGGCGAAGGCGACUUUCUGGCCUAACCCUGGCGCUGAGGCGCGAAAGCGUGGGGAGCAAACA
rnacentral:rRNA from 1 species